AGAGUUUGAUCCUGGCUCAGGACGGACGGUGGCGGGUGCCUAAUACAUGCUAAGUGGAGCGAGCUUGCCCUAGAUGAUUUUAGUGCUUGCACUAAAUGAAACUAGAUACAAGCGAGCGGCGGACGGGUGAGUAACACGUGGGUAACCUACCCAAGAGACUGGGAUAACACCUGGAAACAGAUGCUAAUACCGGAUAACAACACUAGACGCAUGUCUAGAGUUUGAAAGAUGGUUCUGCUAUCACUCUUGGAUGGACCUGCGGUGCAUUAGCUAGUUGGUAAGGUAACGGCUUACCAAGGCAAUGAUGCAUAGCCGAGUUGAGAGACUGAUCGGCCACAUUGGGACUGAGACACGGCCCAAACUCCUACGGGAGGCAGCAGUAGGGAAUCUUCCACAAUGGACGAAAGUCUGAUGGAGCAACGCCGCGUGAGUGAAGAAGGGUUUCGGCUCGUAAAGCUCUGUUGGUAGUGAAGAAAGAUAGAGGUAGUAACUGGCCUUUAUUUGACGGUAAUUACUUAGAAAGUCACGGCUAACUACGUGCCAGCAGCCGCGGUAAUACGUAGGUGGCAAGCGUUGUCCGGAUUUAUUGGGCGUAAAGCGAGUGCAGGCGGUUCAAUAAGUCUGAUGUGAAAGCCUUCGGCUCAACCGGAGAAUUGCAUCAGAAACUGUUGAACUUGAGUGCAGAAGAGGAGAGUGGAACUCCAUGUGUAGCGGUGGAAUGCGUAGAUAUAUGGAAGAACACCAGUGGCGAAGGCGGCUCUCUGGUCUGCAACUGACGCUGAGGCUCGAAAGCAUGGGUAGCGAACAGGAUUAGAUACCCUGGUAGUCCAUGCCGUAAACGAUGAGUGCUAAGUGUUGGGAGGUUUCCGCCUCUCAGUGCUGCAGCU
rnacentral:rRNA from 1 species